rnacentral:rRNA from 1 species
AACGAACGCUGGCGGCAUGCCUAAUACAUGCAAGUCGAACGAGAUCUUCGGAUCUAGUGGCGCACGGGUGCGUAACGCGUGGGAAUCUGCCCUUGGGUUCGGAAUAACUUCUGGAAACGGAAGCUAAUACCGGAUGAUGACGUAAGUCCAAAGAUUUAUCGCCCAAGGAUGAGCCCGCGUAGGAUUAGGUAGUUGGUGUGGUAAAGGCUCACCAAGCCGACGAUCCUUAGCUGGUCUGAGAGGAUGAUCAGCCACACUGGGACUGAGACACGGCCCAGACUCCUACGGGAGGCAGCAGUAGGGAAUAUUGGACGAUGGGCGAAAGCCUGAUCCAGCAAUGCCGCGUGAGUGAUGAAGGCCUUAGGGUUGUAAAGCUCUUUUACCCGGGAUGAUAAUGACAGUACCGGGAGAAUAAGCUCCGGCUAACUCCGUG